rnacentral:piRNA from 1 species
UGUGCUUUCAAAAAAAUGCAG